GAGGGUAUAGUUCAAGUGGUAGAGCAUAUGCUUAGCAUGCAUGAGGUCCGGGGUUCAAUCCCCAGUACCUCCU
rnacentral:tRNA from 1 species